UAUAUUAAACCAGGAUCUUGCAUUGUUCCACUAAUGGUGUGAGUUUUACCACAUCCAGUUGCUCCAUAUGCAAAGAUAGUAGCAUUGAAUCCAUCCAAAAUAUUGUCUAAUAACGGCCUGGCAGUUCUCUCAUACACCUGUUGCUGAGUAGCAGUUUCAUCAAAAACCCUAUCAAAAGCAUAACGAAGAUCACGGCCAAAUCCCGCAGAAUUGUUUGACUUUCUAGAUAAUCUAGCGAGACUCUGUUGAGAAGUAGAAAGUCUGCGGUUUGUGGCACUCAAAGUAGCCGUUGUUUCAUCCGGGGGAUCAAAUACCAAGACACGUCCAUCAAGUACCUUUACUACUCGUCGAAUUUGACGUCCUGAACCAGGGUUCCUUAAGGAAGAAGAUGUUCCAAAUGAUAAACGAUCUGAGGAUGCAAUUAAAUUUGCAGAUUCAGCUGUACUAAAUGGGCGAACACGGACUAUUUUAUGUUAGCAAAAAGAUAUGAAUUUAAAAAACAUCACAUUAAAGACUAACCUGUAACGGUAAUGGACGACUGUCUUGACAUUGAAAAGCAAAAUUUCCAUGCAAGCAAUCAUCCAAAACAGAUGAAAAGAAGGGCACUCGCAAACAACAAUUCCAAUAACCUUCUUGAAUAAAAGCAAUUUAUAUCGAAGAUCACUAUUAAAAUAGAUGUAACAGUAGAAAAGAGCGAGAAACGCGUUUUUUGAGUGCGCUUC